rnacentral:rRNA from 1 species
GACGAACGCUGGCGGCGUGCUUAACACAUGCAAGUGGUGCGGCGAACCAGGCUUCGGCCUGGGGCGAAGCCGCGCACGGGUGAGUAACACGUUGGCAAUCUGCCCCUUUGAUCGGGACAACCCGGGCAAACCCGGGCUAAUACCGAAUGCGGUGGCCGCUCAUGAGAGUCGCCACGAAAGAAAGCUUAGGCGUCCGCGAAGGGGUGAGCCCGCGGCCGAUGAGCUUGUUGGUGGGGUAAUGGCCUACCAAGGCAACGAUGGGUAGCUGGUCUGAGAGGACGAUCAGCCACACUGGGACUGAGACACGGCCCAGACUCCUACGGGAGGCUGCAGUGGGGAAUCUUGCGCAAUGAGCGACAGCUUGACGCAGCAACGCCGCGUGAGGGAAGAAGGCUUUCGGGUCGUAAACCUCUUUCAGUUAGGACGAAGCUUUAUUGGUUAAUAACCAAUUGGAGUGACGGUACUUUCAGAAGAAGCCCCGGCUAACUACGUGCCAGCCGCCGCAGUAA